rnacentral:rRNA from 1 species
GAUGAACGCUGGCGGCGUGCCUAAUACAUGCAAGUCGAGCGAACAGACGAGGAGCUUGCUCCUCUGACGUUAGCGGCGGACGGGUGAGUAACACGUGGAUAACCUACCUAUAAGACUGGGAUAACUUCGGGAAACCGGAGCUAAUAACGGAUAAUAUAUUGAACCGCAUGGUUCAAUAGUUAAAGACGGUUUUGCUGUCACUUAUAGAUGGAUCCGCGCCGCAUUAGCUAGUUGGUAAGGUAACGGCUUACCAAGGCAACGAUGCGUAGCCGACCUGAGAGGGUGAUCGGCCACACUGGAACUGAGACACGGUCCAGACUCCUACGGGAGGCAGCAGUAGGGAAUCUUCCGCAAUGGGCGAAAGCCUGACGGAGCAACGCCGCGUGAGUGAUGAAGGUCUUCGGAUCGUAAAACUCUGUUAUUAGGGAAGAACAAAUGUGUAAGUAACUAUGCACGUCUUGACGGUACCUAAUCAGAAAGCCACGGCUAACUACGUG